UUAAAUUGAAGAGUUUGAUCAUGGCUCAGAUUGAACGCUGGCGGCAGGCCUAACACAUGCAAGUCGAACGGUAACAGGAAGCGCUUGCUGCUUCGCUGACGAGUGGCGGACGGGUGA
rnacentral:rRNA from 2 species